rnacentral:tRNA from 1 species
GCCCGGGUAGCUCAGUUGGUAGAGCACUCCCUUGGUAAGGGAAAGGUCAUGGAUUCAAAUUCCAUUCCGGGCU